UUAUUUAUGUUUAUUAAUUUAUUUAUUUUUAAAUAAUAAUAAUAAAAAAAUCUUAAUUUAAGCUUUCUUUUGAGUAUGGUAAAGCAGAAAUGAUCUGCCAGUGAUAAGCCAUAAUGCAGAGUAGGUUCUCUGGGUCAUUCAGUGUGUAAAAAAUAAGGCAGUGCUCAAUUUCCUUUGCAGAUGAAUGCAGAGAUAAUAGAAAGGAUAAUUACAAGAAACAGCGACUCAAAGAGGGAGAAUAUAUUCUCUUAAAUACACCAAAAUAACAAAAGGACAAUAAAAACCCCCAAACAAUGAAACAACAAAUGUCAAAUAAAAAAUAAAUAGGAUCCUAGAGUAUAUAUUCUUGUAUUUCAAAUUAUUUAUUCCUUCUCUGCAGGAAGCAGGGAAAGAUAAUAAAAUACACAAAAUGCAUUGGCUUACAAGAGUUUGCGCUGUGGAUGUAGAAGAUCAGAAUUAUGUGAUUCUUGGCAGACUUGAUUUCAACUAGAAGACAGGACUGUAAGUAGGUUUUGGGAUCAGC
rnacentral:lncRNA from 1 species